UACCGGAUGAUGAACGUAACGUACCAAAGUAUUUAUCCGACCCGAAGGAUGACGCCCGCGUAAGUAUUAGCUUAGUUGGUGGGGUAAAGGCCUACCAAGGCGACGAUCUUUAGCUGGUCUGAGAGGAUGAUCAGCCACACUGGGACUGAGACACGGCCCAGACUCCUACAGGAGGCAGCAGUGGGGAAUAUUGGACAAUGGGCGAAAGCCUGAUUCAGCAAUGCCGCGUGAGUGAUGAAGGCCUUAGGGUUGUAAAGCUCUUUACCAGGGAUGAUAAUGACAGUACCUGGAGAAUAAGCUCCGGCUAACUCCGUG
rnacentral:rRNA from 1 species